AAUGUGGUCGACUUCGAGCGUAGGACGGCGUACAAGGUGUCUUGGGACGGCGACGCGAACACUCGAGGAGGCUAUUACGACGCCGAGAUCCUCGAAUUGACGGGACUACCUGCGGCUCGGCUGUCGAUGCGGGAGGUGCUGUAGGGCCCUACUGCCUAACACUUGCUGACGAGGACAUCCUUGCAAAGAAUGAGAUCGUGGAUCCUAGCAUCGGCCUCCAGAAAAGGAAGGAAUGGGGACACGUUUUCCAGGGAGCCGCAAGCUGCACUUGGACCCGCAAAAAGCCGCGUGCGGCUCGCGAGCCUCACUUUGGCCACUCCUGAGAUAAUGUAAGCACAGUAGAUUGAAUCGAUUGCAACAAGAAGUCAUUAAAACAUUAUUGUAGCCAGGCUCUUAAUUGUAGUUACAGCCAGUGCCUGGAAAACAUU
rnacentral:misc_RNA from 1 species